CGGGAUAUGGCGCAGCUUGGUAGCGUGCCUCGUUCGGGACGAGGAGGUCGCAGGUUCAAAUCCUGUUAUCCCGACCA
rnacentral:tRNA from 10 species